UUUGAGAGAAGGGAUGACACAGUAGGAUAAGCUAAGCACACUGUUGGUUAUGUGUGCCCAAGCAUUGAGGCAGUCAAAGUAGGCAAAUCCGCUUUGAUAAUGCUGGGAUGUGAUGGGGAGCGAAAUUUAGUAGCGAAGUAGCUGAUUUCACACUGUCAAGAAAAGUCUCUAUCGAGGUUAAAGGUACCCGUACCGCAAACCGACACAGGUGGGUGAGGAGAGUAUCCUAAGGCCA
rnacentral:rRNA from 1 species